AGCAGCCGCGGUAAUUCCAGCUCCAAUAGCGUAUAUUAAAGUUGUUGCAGUUAAAAAGCUCGUAGUUGAAUUUCGGGGUUAGUAGAUUGGUCGUGCCAUUGGUACGUACUGGUCUUACUGAUUCCUCCUUCCUGAUGAACCGUAAUGCCAUUAAUUUGGUGUUGCGGGGAAACUGGACUGUUACUUUGAAAAAAUUAGAGUGUUUAAAGCAGGCUAACGCUUGAAUACAUUAGCAUGGAAUAAUGAAAUAGGACGUUCGAUCCUAUUUUGUUGGUUUCUAGGAUUGACGUAAUGAUUAAUAGGGAUAGUUGGG
rnacentral:rRNA from 1 species